GGCGGCGCAACACGCGGCCGCGAAAGAUCUGGUUCUGGAGGCCCUCACCGUGCUCGUGCAGUCAAGUUUCGACCGCGUUCGCCCUCGUACAUCCGUCGGCGGCGGCAAUUCGGUUGCGGCGCCAAGAUCCUUGACCUGGACGAGGACAUAGGGGCUGAUGGUGAAGCGGGUGUUGGCCGUGGAGGCGCUGUACCCGGCACUGCAGCGGGUCAUGCGGCUAACCAGGUCGGCGCGGCAGCUGGUGCUGGGCAAGACAUCGCGUCUGUAGGUGUUGGGCAAGACGGCACGGCAGCAUCAGUGCAUCCUGGGGCUGACCAUGACGCAGCAGCCGCAGGUGCUGGGGGCGUUGAGGAGAAGCUACACAAGCACUAGUAGAUCCAUGAUUUGAUCAACUGAUUUCAUAUGAAAAUUACUCUGGCCAUGGAUACUAGAUGACGGAAAAUCUCGGGAACCAUACUGAGGUCAACUACAAUCCUUUUGCGCCCACAGUUUUUCGGCUUCCUUGAUCUUACAUCAACGGGUACGCCUUGUCGAAGGCACUCCUUCACUCUCCUCCAAACAUGUCUGACCUUCUGCACCGAAACAUGGAACAUGUUUGCAACUUCUCUGGUUGUGGUCUUCUUUAAUUUCCGAUUGACACUUCUUGCUAGCAACUCUUCAUAAAUACCAGUCCUUUACAAAUCUGUUAAAUUCUUGUAUUUGUCUUCAUGAUGAACUUGCUCAUUAUCUUGUUGCUCUUGCUCCACAUACAUGUCUUCUUCUGGUGCUGAAUCAUACAUGGCUUCAUCUGCUGAAUCAUCAAGCUCUUCUUCCUCAAACUGAAUCUCUAUAUCGCCUGAUUACACACCAUAGUCUUCCUCGUCAACUUGAAGGUUAUUUAGAGCUUCAUCCAUUGCUUGCACUUCCUCUUCCAUGCUCUGGAAAACACCGCCUUGUUCUUCAAGUUCAUGGUCUACAAGGUUCUCUUCUCCAUGGGCAACAUUGGCCUCAUGUUCCUCUUCUCCAUGGGCAAUGUCGGGCUCAUGUUCAUCUUCUACAUGAAGACCGACAUGGGGUUCUUCAUGCAAGGCAGCCUCAAGUUCGUCCUCUAUGGCGAAGAAGAAUAAUCAGCAGGUGCACAUGAACAAAGAGAACAAAGGAGUAGACGAUCAAGAUGUACCUGGGCUCAUGUUCAGAUCGAUUUGACGACCAACCUGGAGCAGUUCUUCAUGCAAGGCAACCUCAAGUUCGUCCUCUAUGGCAAAGAAGAAUCAUCAGCAUGUGCACAUGAACAAGGAGAACAAAUGAAAAGAUGAUCAAGAUGUACCUGGGUUCAGGUUCAAAUCGAUUUGAUGACCAACCUGGAGCAAUUCUUCAUGCAAGGGAGGCACAUGUUCAACUUCUCCCUCUCCUGGUGCUAUGUUCAAGUCAAUGGCCAUGGCCUCUCUAUGUGUUGUUCUACUUGGCGCUAGUUUGCUGCUUGUUCUACUUGGUGCUACUGUGCUAGCUUUAUAGCUGGUUGUUCUACUUGAAAUCUGGCUCAUAGCUCAAUUCUGUAAUUUGCCGCUUCUAAUUCUGUAAUCUGGCGCCAUAUUGUACUAGUACUCAGCUACUAGUUGUGGAUGGUGGGAAGUGUUGUGGCGGGAACAAUUUUCUGUUGGCAA